rnacentral:rRNA from 1 species
GACGAACGCUGGCGGCGUGCUUAACACAUGCAAGUCGAACGAAGUGGCGAACGGGUGAGUAACGCGUAAUCAACCUGCCCUUCAGAGGGGGACAACAGUUGGAAACGACUGCUAAUACCGCAUACUGAAGGAGGGGAUUGCGUCUGAUUGGCUAGUUGGAGGGGUAACGGCCCACCAAGGCGAUGAUCAGUAGGCGGUCUGAGAGGAUGGACGGCCAAAUCGGGAACGAGACACGGCCCAAACUCCCACGGGAGGGCGCCGUUGGGAAUCUUCCGAAAUGGACGUAAGUCUGACGGAGCAACGCCGCGUUAGUGAUGGCGGGUUUCGGGUUGUAAAGCUCUUUUAAUCGGGACGCAGUACCGGAACAGAAAGCCACGGCUAACUACGUGCCAGCCGCCGCGGUAAUAC